rnacentral:rRNA from 1 species
UUAAGCAUAUCAAUAAGCGGAGGAAAAGAAACCAACAGGGAUUGCCUCAGUAACGGCGAGUGAAGCGGCAACAGCUCAAAUUUGAAAUCUGGCCUCACGGUCCGAGUUGUAAUUUGUAGAGGAUGCUUUUGGCGAGGUGCUUUCCGAGUUCCCUGGAACGGGACGCCAUAGAGGGUGAGAGCCCCGUACGGUAAGACCACCGAGCCUCUGUAAAGCUCCUUCGACGAGUCGAGUAGUUUGGGAAUGCUGCUCUAAAUGGGAGGUGUACGUCUUCUAAAGCUAAAUACCGGCCAGAGACCGAUAGCGCACAAGUAGAGUGAUCGAAAGAUGAAAAGCACUUUGAAAAGAGGGUUAAAAAGUACGUGAAAUUGUUGAAAGGGAAGCAUUCAUGACCAGACUUGGGCUUGGUUGAACAUCCGGCGUUCUCGCCGGUGCACUCUGCCAGUCCAGGCCAGCAUCAGUUUGCCCCGGGGGACAAAGGCGGUGGGAAUGUGGCUCUCUUCGGGGAGUGUUAUAGCCCGCCGUGUAAUGCCCUGGGGCGGACUGAGGAACGCGCUUCGGCACGGAUGCUGGCGUAAUGGUCAUCAAUGACCCGUCUUGAAACACGGACCAAGGAGUCGUCUUCGUAUGCGAGUGUUCGGGUGUCAAACCCCUACGCGUAAUGAAAGUGAACGUAGGUGAGAGCUUCGGCGCAUCACCGACCGAUCCUGAUGUUCUCGGAUGGAUUUGAGUAAGAGCAUACGGGGCCGGACCCGAAAGAAGGUGAACUAUGCCUGUAUAGGGUGAAGCCAGAGGAAACUCUGGUGGAGGCUCGCAGCGGUUCUGACGUGCAAAUCGAUCGUCAAAUAUGGGCAUGGGGGCGAAAGACUAAUCGAACCUUCUAGUAGCUGGNUUCCGCCGAAGUUUCCCUCAGGAUAGCAGUGUUGAACUCAGUUUUAUGAGGUAAAGCGAAUGAUUAGGGACCCGGGGGCGCUAUUUAGCCUUCAUCCAUUCUCAAACUUUAAAUAUGUAAGAAGCCCUUGUUGCUUAAUUGAACGUGGGCAUUCGAAUGNAUCAACACUAGUGGGCCAUUUUUGGUAAGCAGAACUGGCGAUGCGGGAUGAANCNAACGCGAGGUUAAGGUGCCAGAGUAGACGCUCAUCAGACACCACAAAAGGUGUUAGUACAUCUUGACAGCAGGACGGUGGCCAUGGAAGUCGGAAUCCGCUAAGGACUGUGUAACAACUCACCUGCCGAAUGUACUAGCCCUGAAAAUGGAUGGCGCUCAAGCGUCUCACCCAUACCUCGCCCUCAGGGUUGAAAUGAUGCCCUGAGGAGUAGGCGGACGUAGAGGUCAG